UAGGGAAUAUUGGACAAUGGGCGCAAGCCUGAUCCAGCCAUGCCGCGUGAGUGAAGAAGGCCCUCGGGUUGUAAAGCUCUUUUGUCCGGAAAGAAAAGCUUUGGGUUAAUACCCCGAAGUCCUGACGGUACCGGAAGAAUAAGCACCGGCUAACUUCGUGCCAGCAGCCGCGGUAAUACGAAGGGUGCAAGCGUUACUCGGAAUUACUGGGCGUAAAGCGUGCGUAGGUGGUUCGUUAAGUCUGAUGUGAAAGCCCUGGGCUCAACCUGGGAAUGGCAUUGGAUAGUGGCGGGCUAGAGUGCGGUAGAGGGCAGUGGAAGUCCCGGUGUAGCAGUGAAAUGCGUAGAGAUCGGGAGGAACAUCUGUGGCGAAGGAGACUGCCUGGACCAGCACUGACACUGAGGCACGAAAGCGUGGGGAGCAAACAGG
rnacentral:rRNA from 1 species